UUUAUCAAAAACAUGUCUGUAUGAUUUAUUAAUAUAAAGUCUGGCCUGCCCACUGAAGUUAUUUAAAGGGCCGCGGUAAUUUGACCGUGCGAAGGUAGCAUAAUCAGUAGUCUUUUAAUUGGAGGCUGGAAUGAAUGGUCGGACAAGGAGUUAGCUGUCUUUUAUAUAAAGUUUGAAUUUUACUUUUAAGUGAAAAGGCUUAAAUGAAUUAGGGGGACGAUAAGACCCUAUAAAACUUUACAAGCGAAGAUUUGUAUUUUUUAAAUUAAAGUAUAACGUUAUGUACUGUUCUGUUUGUUAUGUUGGGGCGACAAAGAUAUAAUAAGUAACUGUUAAUUUUAUUGAAUAGUGAUAAUUAGUUUAAUUGAUCCUCUCUUAGAGAUUACAAGAUUAAGUUACUUUAGGGAUAACAGCGUAAUUUUCUCUGAGAGUUCUUAUCGACGGGAAUAGUUGCGACCUCGAUGUUGAAUUAAGAUUUCCUUUAGGUGUAGCAGUUUAAGGGGUAGGUCUGUUCGACCUUUAAAAUCUUACAUGAUUUGAGUUCAAACCGGUGUGAGCCAGGUUGGUUUCUAUCUA
rnacentral:rRNA from 1 species